UACGGGGGGGGCAAGCGUUGUUCGGAAUUACUGGGCGUAAAGGGCUCGUAGGCGGCCAACUAAGUCAGACGUGAAAUCCCUCGGCUUAACCGGGGAACUGCGUCUGAUACUGGAUGGCUUGAGUUUGGGAGAGGGAUGCGGAAUUCCAGGUGUAGCGGUGAAAUGCGUAGAUAUUGCUCGGAAGGCCAGAGCCGAAGGGGCCCUACUGGUGCGUAACUGACACUGAGGCACGAAAGCGUGGGGAGCAAACAGG
rnacentral:rRNA from 1 species